rnacentral:ncRNA from 2 species
UCAGCAAUACGAAAUUGCGGUUUGAACGGCGGCGGGAAAAGCCGCUCAGUAGAUCAAUAGGGAAGCCGGUGAGAAUCCGGCGCAACCGCCAUUACUGUGUUUUGACGACAGCGGGAAAGAACCGCCAUUGGAGGAAAUGGUCCUCUGAGAAGGCUUUCCGUCUAUGGGUGCACCCCAUACGUCAUCAGCCAGGAGACCUGCCGCAUUUUUUGUAAGGCG